ACAAUUCAACAUGAGAUUUGGGUGGGGACACAGACACAAACUGCAUCACGGAGUGUGUUUCCUUUCAUUUGAAGAGAAUCGCAUUCAGGGUGAUUUCCAAGUGUCUCCAGACUUGAAGACCACUGCCUGGUAGCUUCUAGUGGAUGGAGAUGAUGUGCAUAAGCCCUUCUGGUCGAAGACCCCCAGGCCAGAUCUUUGGAGGGCCCUUCUUGGUCUUCUUGGAACCAGGACUUCUACGUUCUGUCCUCCUGCAGCCAUCUAAAAUCAGCCAGAAAGGUUUAGGAUCCCAUUUCCUGUUCUUGCAUCGGCUGUCCAAGCUGCUGUUCCUCUCUCCGCAGUAAGAGGGUGUUUCUCUCCCUGUUCAAGAGGAGCACCAACACUUGAGGACAGUAUCAUCCCUAGACCUUGGCAAGAGAGACCACUGAGUGAGGCAUCCAUGGAACCCAAGGAAGAGGCCUACGAAGAACCUGCAGUCACCUUCUAGACCAUUCUCCCUCACCAAACUGUCCCCUCCAGAGAGCUGAGGACUGGAUCUUCCCAUGCUGACACCUCCAGUGGGAAAGAAAAUUCUAGAUUCAGCUCUGGGUGUCCAAGUCAUUAUGAAGGCAUAUUUGUCAAGGUGGAAGAAAAGGACAUAUUCUAUUUAGCAGUUUAGACAGAAUGUGCUAUAACCUUCUGGAAACUUCUACUAUUUUCCUGCAACCUGACUACCCCUUAGGUGAGGGAGUCCAGAAUGCUGGCUUGAAAUGGGAGAGAGAAAGAACUGCCACAUAAUUUGCAAGAUCUUUUUUGAAAAAGAAAAGGUAUUAAGAAUUCCAGGACAGCAUUAGGAAUGUAUUAAACCAGAAUAAGGAACAGCGGAGCUUCCCCCUAAGACCCUGGUGUGUUUCUGCAUCAGGAAACCUUCUCUCCUGCAAUGUGUCGUUUAAGAUUGAACAACAUGGUGCCUUUGCCAGAAGUUAACAGGAAACCCAAAAGGAGAUGAGCCAGACUGGUUAGUUCAGAAGAGAAUCGUUGGGGAAGACAAUGGGAGCUGCUGUUUGAAUGUGGCCCUGAGAUUAUUUGUGCUUUUCAAUCCCAUGUUACCAAAACACAUUUCAAGCUGGCCUAUAAAUCACACCUUGUGCAUAAUUUUAAGUGGAUAAAUAUUUGUCGCCCAAGUGAAUGAUGCUUCCAGCUUUCAAAAAAUUGUAUUAAGUGUGGUUAUUAUUAUAAUGGUAUGAAUGUUUACUCUCAUUGCCUUGGCUGUGCAGAUCCAAUACAGUUUCUUUUUAAAAUAGAA
ensembl:lncRNA novel transcript